UACGUAGGGUGCGAGCGUUAAUCGGAAUUACUGGGCGUAAAGCGUGCGCAGGCGGUUGUGCAAGACAGAUGUGAAAUCCCCGGGCUCAACCUGGGAAUUGCAUUUGUGACUGCACGGCUAGAGUGUGUCAGAGGGGGGUAGAAUUCCACGUGUAGCAGUGAAAUGCGUAGAUAUGCGGAGGAACACCGAUGGCGAAGGCAAUCCCCUGGGCCUGCACUGACGCUCAUGCACGAAAGCGUGGGGAGCAAACAGG
rnacentral:rRNA from 1 species